UGGGUGUCGAGGGAGCUGGGAAACCCGGGAGACUGUAAAUCUCUCGCGAAAGCUUGCUGAGUUCGAUCCUCAGGGCACCCAU
rnacentral:tRNA from 1 species